GAUGAACGCUGGCGGCGUGCCUAAUACAUGCAAGUCGAGCGAACAGACGAGGAGCUUGCUCCUCUGACGUUAGCGGCGGACGGGUGAGUAACACGUGGAUAACCUACCUAUAAGACUGGGAUAACUUCGGGAAACCGGAGCUAAUACCGGAUAAUAUAUUGAACCGCAUGGUUCAAUAGUGAAAGACGGCUUUGGUGUCACUUAUAGAUGGAUCCGCGCCGCAUUAGCUAGUUGGUAAGGUAACGGCUUACCAAGGCAACGAUGCGUAGCCGACCUGAGAGGAUGAUCGGCCACACUGGAACUGAGACACGGUCCAGACUCCUACGGGAGGCAGCAGUAGGGAAUCUUCCGCAAUGGGCGAAAGCCUGACGGAGCAACGCCGCGUGAGUGAUGAAGGUCUUCGGAUCGUAAAACUCUGUUAUUAGGGAAGAACAAAUGUGUAAGUAACUAUGCACGUCUUGACGGUACCUAAUCAGAAAGCCACGGCUAACUACGUG
rnacentral:rRNA from 1 species